AUGCUAGAUAUGGGAGUAAUAGAGGAAUCCAACAGUGAUUGGGCGAGCCCGAUAGUUGUACCUUUACUUUACUGUUACUUUUAGUCA